CCUCUCUAGUCUCCAAAUGUAAUGUAAACUUUUUUUUCUUUUCUUUUUUUACAGACAGGAUCUCACUCUGUUGCUGAGGCUGGAUCACAGCUCCCUGCAACCUUGAACUCUCCCUCAAGCAAUUCUCCCCACUCUGCCUUCCAAAGCACUAGCAUUAUAGGCCUAAGCCACCACUCCCAUCCACUGUAGUGUAAACUGUCUCCUUCAAUGUUUCCAAUAGUUGCGGAGCAGAUCAGAUAAGGGUUCUUCCUGUCUGUUGCUUCAAGUUUCAUUCUCUCUUUAAACAAUACAAGGUUGGCUUCCAUGGUUCCUUCUUAAAGAAUGUUGAAGGUGUGUCUUCAGAUUCAUUUAGUGUUCGUGGAACCCCAGGGAAAGCUGAUGUAAAAACCUCUUUUUUCUCCCAUAUGUCUCAAAAAGUUGUAUUUUCUGGGUCCAAGGGAUCUGCAAGCCUCCUAAAGGCAUUUCCAUUGUCACUACCACCAGGUGUGAACUGUAAUCUGGCACGUAUAGUUCCAAGAACUGUCAUAAUAGAUGCUGAAGAAACAUUGUGAAGUUAACUCGCUGUUACCAACUGUGAAGUCAUUAGCUAGAGGAAUCUUGGGCGGUCUGAAAUCUGAGAUACUGUGGAAAGAACAGAAAGAUCCUGUAUCUUUCCUAUAAUUGUUCUACUGGAAGUUGUCAUUUUACACAGGAGACAUUCUGUUUUAUUUAUUUUCUUUUGAGACAGGGUCUCACUCUGUCGCCCAGGCUGGAGUGCAGUGUUGUUACCACAGGUCACUGGUGCCUCCACUGCCUGAGGACUGCUCAAGCAAUCCUCCUGCCUCAGUCCCCUGAGGAGCUGGGGCCACAGGCCUGCACCACCAUGCCUGGCUAAUUAUUUUUAUUUGUAGAGACAAAGUCUAUCUUGCCUAGGCUGAUCUCGAACUCCUGGGCUCAAGUAAUCCUCCCGCGGUGGCUUCUCAAAGUGCUUGGGAUUACAGAUGGUCUUGCUCUGUCACCCAGUCUGGAAUGCAGUGGUGCCAUCAUAGCUCACUACAGCCUGAGCUGUACUGAGCUCGAGGGAUCUUCCCGUCUCCGCCUCCUAAGCAGCUGGGACUACAGGUGUCAGAAACGAAGAGACUCAAGAAAAGACUGCCUGCCCUACUCACCUUGACUGAGCGCUGACGAAGACCACGGGGCCCUCUGCGCUGCAAGGGCGGAGGUGGCCCAGAAGCCCGCAGUGCCCACGUGCAGGACCCAGGGUAGGGGGUGAGGCCGGACGAUGGCACCCGCCCCGCUGGUUCCCAGCCACACAGGGAGGCAAAGCAAAGGCAGCCCGCGGGCGGAUGGAGCUGCAGGGGCCGAGCGUCGGCAAGCCCAGGACGGCCUGGCGCAGGGUUGCGGGCGCCCGACCUCCAGCGUGGCCCGCGGAUGCAAGACAAAGCUUUAAAGCCUCCGGCCGCACAGCCACCCACUAGUCCCCAGGUAUGAGGACGGUCUGAAGAACCUCUCUCUCCUCUGCCUGCUGAAGAGUUCCAAGACAAGUAAGGCAACAGCAAGGACGACACAACCACACACCGCCACAACCACACGCCACCACCACCACACACUACCACAACCACACCACACACCUCCACAACCACACACCACCAACCCCACACUGCCACAACCACACACAACCACACACCACCACCACACACCAGAACCACACACAACCACACAUAACCACAACCACACAACACCACAACCACAACCACACACCAGCACCACAACACACAACCACAACCUCCCUCUGAGCUGCUCAGGCUGCUUUAACCAACCAGUUUGGAAUCCAAUCAAAAUCCUCUGCUGCCGUCUAGCGACGAAUACCGGGAAAGCAGAAUAUAUAGUAAGAAAGCUGUUUAAGAGGCAAAAAGUGAUCGUCUAAAGGUUUGCAAGUGCAAGCCAGAAGAACCUGGUCAUCCUGUGUUCAUGACAGUGCCUUGAACUGGGUCACCCCGCACUUGCUAAGGGGCUGGUGUGGGAUGUGACAAGAAGAAAGUCGUCAAGGGGACUCCAAGAUUUCUGACUUGAGAAACUGAAAAAGCCACUGUUAACUGAGAUUUUUUUUUUUUUUAAUGUGGGUGGAACGGAUUUGGGCAUAAAGAUUUAAAAAUCCAGUUUGAAACGUGCUAAAUUGGAAUGUUUAAAAGGGAAUACUUGCUAAACUGAGCAAUAAUUAUGCUGUCUCCAGGUUAGCACGCGUCCCCUUUUAGGUCAAAGGAUACAGAGUAGCAAGUAUGUAGGAGGAACAAAUCAAAAGAUCUAAUGAACAACAUCGGGACUGUCGUUUCUAUAGUGUGUUGUGUUAAGGAUUUUUGCAAAAUCAGUAGAUCAUAGCUGCUCUUGCCACAAGGCGGAAAAACGGAAAAAUGGAAAAACGGGUAACUAUGUGAGAUGAUGGAUAUAUUAAUCUGUUGUACUCUAGUAACCAUUUCACUAGAUACAUAAUAUCGUGUUGAACACCUUAAAUAUACACCACCAGAUUUAUUUUUUAAAAUAAAAAUGAAACAUGGCUUGAAAACCAAAAAAAUUAGCUGUACUAUAAUUUGAUAUGUUAAACAUUGUCAUGCUGUUAUUUGAUGUAACUACGCCCAUAAUUCCCAGGAUAAAAAUAUUGGAGUCGUAUUAAGAUUACUUGGACAUUAAGUAAUUGGAUUGGUCAAGAGGUGAAAGGGAGAUUACUGUCCCAUAGAAAAAGUCAAAUGCUGGUUCUCAUAUAUAUAUCACUUUGCAUAUUUGUAUGUUAAGUGGAUUGAACCUACAUCACAUGGUGGAAGGACUGCAUAAAAGGUUAACAUAAUCUUUUCUCUAUCUCUGUGAAAAUCUAACUGCAGGCUGUCUACCUCCUUUCCCCUGGGAACCUGGUGACAUGAAAUGUUUGCUUGAGAGCAUUGCUUUUAGGAAAAGAAUGGCCGAUCUUAGGAUGUAUCUUUUCAAACUAUGGUCUUUGUAACCUUUCUGUCCUGAAACAGAAAAGACUUCUCCUCAACUGGUUGGGUAGCGCAAUGUAUUGACAUAGAGUUCUGGUUCUAGCUCCGGUAGGCACAGAAAGACCACCGAGAUUAACUCCCCAGACUCAUCCCUCUGUAAACUGCUGAGGACAACAACUGUGCUUGGCCCUGCCUUACUCCCGGAAGUGCACUUUGAAAUCUCUGCAUGACAUCACAGCGUGUUCAAAAGAUGAACAAGUGACUGCUAUUUGGUGUUGUGACCAAGGAAACUCUCCAGACUUGUAAAUUCAUAUUCUUCUUCAAAUAGAGGUGGCUAAGAAUAGCAUCCCGGGAUUCUUUAUCAUUUAUGAAUCCUUUUGCUUACAACCGUUGGCAAAAUGGCGUGGGGUGACGUUAACUUGUCAAAUUAAUGUAGAGGGAUGCUAACUGUUUAUGCGCAGCAUAUUUUGUGCUUAUCAUCUGCAUCACUAAAUCAUACUUCAUGAAUGAUUUCAUUACUGAGUCAAGAGUUGUAGGGUUAGAAAUACUGUAACUGAUCAUGUAAUUGACAACAGAAUAACUGUGGAUUACUUGUUAGAACUGGAUCAUGUUGGUAACCAUUUGCAAAAUAGCUGUUGUUGAAACCGAACUGUUACUGUUCGAAAACAAAAAGUUGCAGCAUUGAAAGAUUUAUGGAAGCAGAAAAUAGCUUCCACAACCCUGUUAGGCAAUAGAUUUUUAGAUUGGAGAAUUGGCGGACUAUUACUGAUGGGUAUGGUAGUACCGAUUUUGGUACUUAUACAUGCAGAUUGUUAUGUGAUUGGAUUGGUGCCCUGGGGUGGUGGAGUCUACACUGUAGCACAGGCUUGCACCUGCACAGUGAUAAAAAUGUUACGAGAUGGAAGAGCAAAGCUCAGAAUGAAUUAUCAUUAGGUACAAGUUCAUAAACACAUUGUAAGAGUACACAUACGGUAAAAUCUUUCAAAAUCAUACCCCUACCAAUUCUCCUCACUGCUUACCCCCGUCUGUAGGUAUUGAGAGAAAGUAUGAUUUAUGGUGGCAGAGAUAAAUGACAUAUCCAAGGGCCCUGCGUUGCCCCAACUCCUGAUUCUCUUCCAUCUGUUUGCAUGUGUUGUUGUCAAAGAAAUAAUAUUUUGAAGAGAACUUUGGAAUUGAGAAGAUGUCUUGCAACGUUGUCUGAGGAAUAUUACUUACUUCAAAGUCAUAAAGAUAACCUCCCCAGUCUUCUUCUGGAAGACUAUACUUUUAGCUUUCACAUUAAAGCCUGUGAUCUAACUUGCAUAUAUUGUACUUUUGUGAAAUAGAAGUCCAGGUUCAUCAUGGUUUUUUUUUUUCCCAAAGGGAUGUCCCGGUGUAUUAGUCAGAGUACUCCAGAGAGAACCAAUCAUAUAUAUGGGAAGGGAUUUAUUCAGGGGAAUUGGCUCCCAAAAUCAACGAGAGGUGGAAAAUUCCCACCAUAGGGGAAUCUGCAAGCUGAAGACCAGAGAAACCCAUAGCUCGGCUCAUUCUGGAAGCAGCCCCAAGUCUGAGACCUAAAGUCUGAGAGCCCCUCGGGAGUCUUGUGGUGCAAGUCACAGAGUCCAAACCUGAAGAACCUGGAGUCUGGUAGGGCAGAAGGAAAAAAGGCAUCUGUCUCUGGAAGGGAGAGAGAGAACAGAGAGGAGACAGCAGAGAAUUCCCCUUUCUUCCACCUGUUUGUCCCAGCCAAACCUCCAGCCCAUUGAAUUGUGCCCACCCAUAUUGAGGGUGGGGCUUCUCUCAGUUCACUGACUCACAGGCGAGUCUCCUCUAGAAACAGCCUAACAGAAAUACCCAGAGACAGUGCAUCACCAGGCAACUAGGCAUUCCUCAGUCCAGUCAACCUGACACCUAAAGUUAAUCAUCACACCCGGGAAUCACAGCACUGUAUUUUAAAGAGAAUUUCCAUUCCCCACUGAAUUGCCUUGGCAGUUUGUGAAAAAUCAACUAUGUAUGUAUGCGUCUAUUUCUUAACUCUAGUCUGUUCCAGUGAUCCUUCUGCUUAUCCUUACACCAAUACCACACUGUACUGAUAACUGUAGCUUUGUAAUAAGUCUGGAAACAAGUAAUAUAAGUCCUUCAAAUUUAUCGUACUUUCUCAAGACUCUUUGAUUAUUCUAAGUCCUUUGAAUUUCCGUAUGCAUUUUAAAAUCAGCUUCUCAAUUUCUACAACAAAAAAAGACUCCUGGAAUUCUGAUUUGGAUUUCGUUGUGUCUACAGGUCCAUUUGGGGGAGAAUGCAUGCCUUAACAACAUUGAAUAUUGCAAUACAGGAACGUGGACUAUCCUUCCAUUUACUGAGUUCAUAUUUAAUUUCCCUUGGCAAUGUUUGUAGUUUUCAGUAAUUAGGCCCUGCUUAUCUUGCUCUAAAUUUAUUUUUCUAUAUUUUAUAUUUGUUGAUGCUAUUGUAAGUGGUAUUGCUUUUAUAAUUUUCUUUCCCAGCUGUCUUUAUAGCUAAUACAUGGAACACAACUGAUUUUUGUGAUUGACCUUGUGCCUUGUGAAGCUGCUAAAUGUACUUAUUACUUCUAGUAAUUGUAACUAUUGAUUACUUAUGGCUUUCUUUACAUAAUCAUAUAGUCAUAUCAUCUGCAAAUUAAACAGUUUCAUACUUCUUCCUUUCAACACUUUUUGCCUUUUCUUUUUCUUGACUUACAGCGCUAGAUAG
rnacentral:lncRNA from 1 species